UACGAAGGGAGCUAGCGUUGUUCGGAAUCACUGGGCGUAAAGCGCACGUAGGCGGAUGUGUCAGUCAGGGGUGAAAUCCCGGAGCUCAACUUCGGAACUGCCUUUGAUACAGCACGUCUUGAGUCCGGAAGAGGUGGGUGGAAUUCCUAGUGUAGAGGUGAAAUUCGUAGAUAUUAGGAAGAACACCGGUGGCGAAGGCGGCCCACUGGUCCGGUACUGACGCUGAGGUGCGAAAGCGUGGGGAGCAAACAGG
rnacentral:rRNA from 2 species